AGGGGCGCUGCCUGGCGGGGAAAAGUGGUACUGAUUCUAAGGGCCCAGCCCAACGCAGCACGGCCCACGGCCCGCGGAUGGCAAUUAAUAAUAUAAUAUUAAUAUUCUUGCCUUUUUUUUUUUUAUAAAUGUCUCAUUACAAAGAAAUGGUAAUUGGAAAUAAACGUAUUAAACUCACAACUGUCGAUUUCCAUAACGUUUUCGUUAGUUAAUUAACAUAUUGUCAUUUGGCCUUCCCCCUGAGCUCUUGCGAAAUGGUUCAGCCGCAACGCACGAUGCGUUGAAUCGAACAGCAUCCGAAAUGUGAGAUGCUGGCACUGGCAGCAGGUGUACAGAGCGGCUGGGCUGGCUGAGGUCAGGUCUUAACCACAUGAUGGUGAGCUGGUGGUGACAGCUACAGAAAUUAAGUCAGGUUGGCAAAAACUGAAGGAAAGACGGGAGAAAGAGGAGAGGGCCAAAAGAGGCAGGCAACUGGUCACUCAAUUGUUCGCCAAUAAAGAAGGAGGAGGACAAGAUCCGCCCACGGCCACCACGACUGGAUUCCAUUUCGGAGAAGGAGGUAAGCAACAUUAGUUUGGUAGGAUGUUAGUUGCUUUAGGAUGAAAGUUUUGAAUGAGGGUGCCUUCUAGGCUAGAUCAUAUUUCAGUAUUUGACGGUCAGUCGUUAGGUUCGAGAAAACAGAAUGUUUUUCUUUCUUUUACUGUAACUCUUGUUACUUGUAUAUUUUUAUUGAUGUCUACAAUGUGGAUCCAUUGAUAUUGUAUGCAAUUGCACUGUAAAUUAUGUUCUUUGUUUACAUUUUGAUUGUUACUUGGAGCUAUUUUUUGCACUUUAGACUUCAGCAAUUAAACUUUUUAUUCAUGAACAGUGUAAAUUGAGAUUUUUUUUCCAUAUUGUUUGAAGCUGAAGUGUAAAUAUUUGUGUUGAUGUCAAGCAAUUGUAAUGUUAAUUCAGUUCCUAUAAGAGUCUAUCUUUUUAAUGUAUCUUUUUUAUGUACUAUUUAUGGAAUUUGAAAUUGUACUUGCAUAAUAAAUAUGUGUUUAAAGUAA